rnacentral:rRNA from 1 species
CUGCUGCCUCCCGUAGGAGUUUGGGCCGUGUCUCAGUCCCAAUGUGGCCGAUCAACCUCUCAGUUCGGCUACGCAUCAUUGCCUUGGUAAGCCUUUACCCCACCAACUAGCUAAUGCGCCGCGGGCCCAUCCAAAAGCGGUAGCAUAGCCACCUUUUUACAUAGUUACCAUGCGGUAACUAUGGUUAUGCGGUAUUAGCACCUGUUUCCAAGUGUUAUCCCCCUCUUUUGGGCAGGGUUUGCCCCACGUGUUACUCACCCGUUCGCCA